GACGAACGCUGGCGGCGUGCUUAACACAUGCAAGUCGAACGGAAAGGCCCCUUUGGGGGUACUCGAGGGGCGAACGGGUGAGUAACACGUGAGUAACCUGCCCUUUACUUCGGGAUAACUUCAGGAAACUGGGGCUAAUACCGGAUAGGAAUCCUUGCUGCAUGGUGGGGGUGGGAAAGCUUCGGCGGUUUUGGAUGGACUCGCGGCUUAUCAGCUUGUUGGUGGGGUAGUGGCUUACCAAGGCUUUGACGGGUAGCCGGCCUGAGAGGGCGAGCGGCCAUAUUGGGACUGAGAUACGGCCCAGACUCCUACGGGAGGCAGCAGUGGGGAAUAUUGCACAAUGGGCGGAAGCCUGAUGCAGCAACGCCGCGUGCGGGAUGACGGCCUUCGGGUUGUAAACCGCUUUCAGCAGGGGCGAAGCUUGUGGUGACGGUACCUGCAGAAGAAGCACCGGCUAACUACGUG
rnacentral:rRNA from 1 species